rnacentral:rRNA from 1 species
UACAGAGGUGGCAAGCGUUGUUCGGAAUUACUGGGCGUAAAGGGUGCGCAGGCGGUUUUGUAAGUCAGAUGUGAAAGCCCCGGGCUCAACCUGGGAAUUGCAUUUGAGACUGCGUAGCUAGGGUGCGGAAGAGGGAAGCGGAAUUUCCGGUGUAGCGGUGAAAUGCGUAGAUAUCUGAAGGAACAUCAGUGGCGAAAGCGACUUCCUGGACCAAUACUGACGCUCAUGUGCGAAAGCGUGGGGAGCAAACAGG